rnacentral:rRNA from 1 species
UGUCUACAUCCAUACCACGCUGAACACGCCUGAUCUCUGAAGCUAAGCAGGGUCAGGCCUGGUUAGUACUUGGAUGGGAGAUUAGGAAACUUGUCCAAAAUAACAA